rnacentral:pre_miRNA from 1 species
UCCCUGAGACCUUAACCUGUGUCACGUGGUUCCGUCAGUUCACACCGGUCUUUGUCUCGGGGUAA